AGCACCGCUUCUAACUGUCUGUUUAUUCAGACAAUAUAUGACAAUUUGACCUCAAAUCAGGUAGGACUACCCGCUGAACUUAAGCAUAU
rnacentral:rRNA from 1 species